ACUCCGUGAAUCGGAGGCGGGG
rnacentral:snRNA from 1 species